rnacentral:rRNA from 1 species
GACGAACGCGUGGCGGCGUGCCUAAUACAUGCAAGUGGAACGCAGUGAUUGAUACCGGAGCUUGCUCCACCAUUAAUCAUGAGUCGCGAACGGGUGAGUAACGCGUAGGUAACCUACCUCAUAGCGGGGGAUAACUAUUGGAAACGAUAGCUAAUACCGCAUAACAGUAUUUAUCGCAUGGUAAAUGCUUGAAAGGAGCAACUGCUUCACUAUGAGAUGGACCUGCGUUGUAUUAGCUAGUUGGUGGGGUAACGGCUCACCAAGGCCUCGAUACAUAGCCGACCUGAGAGGGUGAUCGGCCACACUGGGACUGAGACACGGCCCAG